GAUGAACGCUGGCGGCGUGCCUAAUACAUGCAAGUCGAGCGAACAGAUAAGGAGCUUGCUCCUUCGACGUUAGCAGCGGACGGGUGAGUAACACGUGGGUAACCUACCUAUAAGACUGGAAUAACUCCGGGAAACCGGGGCUAAUGCCGGAUAAUAUUUAGAACCGCAUGGUUCUAAAGUGAAAGAUGGUUUUACUAUCACUUAUAGAUGGACCCGCGCCGAAUUAGCUAGUUGGUAAGGUAACGGCUUACCAAGGCAACGAUACGUAGCCGACCUGAGAGGGUGAUCGGCCACACUGGAACUGAGACACGGUCCAGACUCCUACGGGAGGCAGCAGUAGGGAAUCUUCCGCAAUGGGCGAAAGCCUGACGGAGCAACGCCGCGUGAGUGAUGAAGGUCUUCGGAUCGUAAAACUCUGUUAUUAGGGAAGAACAAAUGUGUAAGUAACUGUGCACGUCUUGACGGUACCUAAUCAGAAAGCCACGGCUAACUACGUG
rnacentral:rRNA from 1 species